rnacentral:lncRNA from 1 species
UCCACAAGGCAUACAAAAUCAUCAUUUGGUCGAAACUUCAUGUUGUUCUUUCCGGCAACAAUUUAUAAUGCAACAACAUGAAAACUGUAGACAUCAGCUUUUUUGAACGUAAGCGCUGAGACCAGGGUACACUGCAGCAUUACUGGUAGACUAGGAAUUUUCUGUUACGAGUCUAAGCUUUUGGGGACUCUUAUAAACAAUAUAAGAAUCAAUCAAAUGAAUGUAGGUGAGUUCCUGGUAAUAUACUUAACAUGAACAUAGUUGAUGUUACUAUCUUUGCAGUCUCUAGUGCAUGUCCUGCUUUCACUUGCUUGUAUAGUAAAGUCAAACUUCAAUUUAGGUAGGAGUAGCUGCUUUCUGUGGCAGUGUGCUUGGGCGCGACAAUGUGCGUAAUUUUAUUAUCGAGUCCCAAGUUUAACUGUAUCAAUAUUCAGGACUGACGAUGAGGAAGAGGCUGUCCAUUUUGAAUCGGAGUGAAUGAAGCUUCGAGUCUCCUCAAAGCUCUCUUGCAUAUUCGGAUCAGAGUCCUCUGUAAAGGCCUUAAACC